UACGUAGGGUGCAAGCGUUGUCCGGAAUUAUUGGGCGUAAAGAGCUCGUAGGCGGUCUGUCGCGUCGGAUGUGAAAACCCAGGGCUCAACCCUGGGCCUGCAUUCGAUACGGGCAGACUAGAGUGCGGUAGGGGAGACUGGAAUUCCUGGUGUAGCGGUGAAAUGCGCAGAUAUCAGGAGGAACACCGGUGGCGAAGGCGGGUCUCUGGGCCGUAACUGACGCUGAGGAGCGAAAGCAUGGGGAGCGAACAGG
rnacentral:rRNA from 1 species